UUCAUUUUUUUUGACUGAGUGGCACUUCAGUGAUCCAUCAGGUUGACUGACAACACAGAUACCUACUGAAGACAAACUGGGUGUGAAAUCCUGCCUGGAGUCUUCCACAGCAUGAAAACAUCAUAGAUUCACAGAAUGACAGACAUACAGGCUUCAAAAGAGUUCUUGAGACAUCAACACACCCACUCUCCUCAGGAUAAUGUAAAAGGUUAUGUCACGCCUGACAGGCACAAACAUUCCACCUUUACCAGGAAGAUAUCAAAGGACAAGUGCCAACAAGGGAUUUCUUGAGACUACUCUCCAAAAUUCUCUUCUUGGAGAGGAAAAGGGGUACAGAUCUCUCUGCCUGCUUUUUAAAGCAUAAUAUUGAUACAGCAUGUAUUUAGCAUAUACCCUUGGAAUAUGCAGAUCACUGAGCAAGACUGAGAUUUCAUGUCAGCAACACCUUCUCCCAGAAACUAAAACUGUGCCACCUGUCAAGUCAAGUUAAUUAAAGAAGACACUCCAAUGUGGUGUCUACCACCCUUCUGCCAGAAGUUUUCCCCUCAACCCUUGAAGAAUCAGCAAAAAACAGAUCUGUCCUCACUCCUUUGAUGCCACGCUUCUCGGUAUUCAUUACAUUUUCAUCACUAUCAGGCUGAGACCCAUGGAGCAUUAAACAUUGGCACAUAUCUGCUUCUUCUCCCUCUGCAAAGGAAGGUAAAUUGGGGGAUCAUAAUUUCUUAAAUGAUGCUGGCAUGAUUUAUGAUACUUUGUCUGGAAGCCUCCUUAGUCACUCAUUUAAAACAAUGCAUCAUGCAGAGAUGUUACAACAUCCUUUCAAUUUUCAAAUGCAAUCAAACUGGGAUCUAGAUUAAAAAAAUGCUAAAACACAGUUAAUGCUGAGGAAAAAUGUCUCCUUGAAGGAAUUUCAGGACAUACUGCAACUUCUGUUCCAACGUGCUUAAAAGUUGGUGGCAUGCUUUUCAUUGAAUUUGUAUUGCCGUAAAGCACAAAUUCCUAGUAACAAUGCAUGCUGCUCACUCUAAAACAGACAUCUCUUUACAAACAAUUUUUUGAACACCUGCAUUGAAGGCAUCUUCAGCUUGAAAGAGCAAACCACUGACCUGGGUUGGUGCAGAAAAUUUGAAGGAUUUAUUAUACAAGCCUGCAUAGCAGCCUUAACUGAGUAGAUUUGCAAACUCUUUCUUCUGGAAGCCAAAACAAUUAAAUCUCAUAUGAUUAAAAUCUCUAUGGCCGAAAAUUACAGGUGUGGAACAUACCUUGUUCUUUGUUAUACAUCUGACAAAAAGCUUGCCAAUUUUAUGGCAGUGAUUCUUUCUUAUAGUUCUUCAUGCUGCUAAGUAAAAUCAAAGCAGUAAAGAUUUUCUCUGGCACCAGGA